ACGAACGCUGGCGGCGUGCUUAACACAUGCAAGUCGAACGGAAAGGCCCUUUCGGGGGUACUCGAGUGGCGAACGGGUGAGUAACACGUGGGUGAUCUGCCCUGCACUUUGGGAUAAGCCUGGGAAACUGGGUCUAAUACCGGAUAGGACUACGGCCUGCAUGGGUUGUGGUGGAAAGCUUUUGCGGUGUGGGAUGGGCCCGCGGCCUAUCAGCUUGUUGGUGGGGUGAUGGCCUACCAAGGCGACGACGGGUAGCCG
rnacentral:rRNA from 1 species